UGUUUCAGUUUCCAUAUGAUCACCAAAGUUAAGCAGCAUUGAGCCUGAUUAGUACAAGAUGGGUGACUGCUUGGGAAUACCAGGUCCUGUA